CAUUUCAGGUUUACCCGACUGUUGUUUGAAAAUCAAAACUUGCAGUUAUUUCUGCAUGAAAACAAUAGUAUUUUCCUCGUUAGUUGCACAUCAUUUUUCCGGUUUACCUUAACUCCUGAAAUAAGCUGCUCGCCUUCCACGAAGGGUUUUGUGAGAUCUUUCUGGCUGAGAACUGGCGUGUUGAUCUUACAUUGUGGAAAAAAUUAAUCUUAUUUUAAGUAUAAAGCUUUUUUUACCCCUCGAAAACAUAUAUUGGCCGCACAAAUCAAAAUCCGAGGCAGAUAUCGCGAUUUCUGAGUUCUAAACAAAAUACCUUAAGCUGUUCAGAACACUAGAUAUUCACGGUCUUGAAAACCACGAAAAUAUAAGUAUGUAAAAUAUAAGUAUGUUUAAAAUUUCUCAUAUAUUAACAGUGAAAUACCAGAUGUUUGAGUAAGAGAUAUGAGCUCGUCUAAAGCGAGAGGUAUCAAUUUUCGAGCGAGCUUCAACCCAUCUGAGCCGGAUAAUAUGGCACGGGACCAAACGAGAGUCAACCUUACCCUGAGGGUGUGAAAUUUGACACGAUAUUCCCGUAAGAAGGCGAAGGGUGAAGAUUAAAACCUAACUGACAACCAAGUUUCGGGAAGUUGUAAACACUCCAAAAGAGACAAUGUAAAAGGAGAACCUGAACACGAAGCAGAUGUUGUUGAGGAAACAUGCCUGUACUCAAAACAAUAAUAACCUGUUAUGCUUGCAUCUUUUACGAGGCUAAUAUAUAUUUUGAACAGUACAGUGAUGCAAGUAUGCUUAUCAAGAGCCAUCUGUCAUAAAUCAACCGAUAUUUCCUGGUGAUUUCAAACGGAUCGUCUCACAUAGUCACGUACCAGGUGUAACUAAAUUAUUUCAAAGCAGUUGUUUACUCCGCGCGUAAUGGCAAAUUAUGUAAAUUACACCGAGCGACACCAAAUUACAAUGGCUGCAAGCAAGCAAUUAUUUAAUAAUGAUGACAAGAUAAUUGAAGCAAAAGUUUAGAACAAAUGGUUUGCAACGGAAAAGUGCAUUUGUUGCAGAUAAUAUUGACGCUCUCAAGCAAAGGAUAAGAUGGAAAUCACGAGAUUAGAGUUAAGCUCAUUUUUGCUUGUCACCUUUUUGUGGGGUUUGUCACGCGAAUAAAAACAGUCAACUUUACUUCACAAUGAUAAUUGCAGAUGUGGAAAAGCACAACGAACGUAUGUACUGCAAUUUGAAUUGUGUUUGAUUCAGUCGCGCAUAAACUGGUUAUAUGGGCUUGCAUGAGAUCCAAGAUGAAAAAAAAAAAAACGCCAAAAACAAAAACCGAAACGAAACGAUACAAUGAACAGAAGAAAAAAAAAUCGUCGGCUCUUGAACUGGCUUGCAUCCAAAGUUGCUUUUAGCAAAAUAAUUGGGAUCAACAACCGCGUCACGCGUAACGAGUGCGUAGGAACAUUUUUGUGGGUGAAAAGAAUCAGUGCCAAGUAUUUAGUGAAUCGAGGACCAAACACAACGGGAGGAGGAAAAACUUAUUUCUUGUUCAUAACCACUCAAACAGUAACAGGGCGGAGAGGCGGGUGGGAAGGAGGUGUGUAAGAGACGCCGGCUUGUCAGAAGAAGAUUGGAAUGGAUUGAAGGACGGGUGGAAUUCAGAAACGCUACACUACACACGAAGUAACAGAAACAGGAUUAAAAAGGAUUACACCGAAAACUCUUCUAAACUUCUGAAAGGGAAGUUCCGGUCCAGCUCGGUCCGCUCCGCUCCAGGAGUUGGUUACCAUCAUAACGUGAAGUUGAAGUUGGACAUUAUGUUUUUGAUAUGUUAUAGCCAAACAGCGGUAGGAGAUUUUUUGAACUUUAGUUGAAUCAAAUCCACGAGAGUCGGUCGGAUAUAAAACUUCUCGAAUAGGUCAUGCAAAAAGAAGACAAUAAGCCAUUGGAACCCAUCCUAAUUUACAGCUCAUAAUUGAAGUAGUUCGCAAUUUCUGUAAAUAACCGUCUCUAAAGGUCACCCGAAUUAAAAGUCGCAAGAAGGGUGGACUUUGGGGCUUUCCAAGCUGGAAGAUAAGGGUUGCUUAGAUAAAAUUAUGGCGAUAGAGAAGCGCCCCUUGAAGCCAUCUUCACAACAUGGAGGAUGGAAAUUUAUCUCCUUAACCCUUCAACUCUCAAGAUUCAAUUGCUUAUCAUUCACUCUGGCUUCUACACAUUUCCUUGUAAAUUAGUGAUGUUGGUGUUAAAUCAAGAUGACAACUGCUAAAUAAUAGGUUUGAGUAUUGUCAUAGACUGUUUGCUGGAUAAUGUAUGGAGACUUGAGGGACAAGUGACAUGUUAAUCACUUCUUGGAGUUAAAGGAUUAACACGUCGUGAUAUUCCUGGGCUUGACUCCCGCAAUCAGACACAUAACUUUUAUCUCCUUAACACGUCGUGUUAUUUCUGGCUUAACUCCCGCAAUCAGACACAGAUAACUUGAGAAAGCUCGGAAUCAUUACAAACAAUGGAUGGACACUUAAUAAAUAAAGAAAUAUACCAGGAACGAAAUUCUACCAGUCAGCUUUCAACAAACACACUUCUCAUGGCAUACUCGAGCUACACCCUGAAAUAAAUAGUUUUUC